GGGAUUAGAUACCCCACUAUGCUUAGCCCUAAACUCAGAUGUUUUAACUACAAGAAACAUCCGCCAGGGUACUACGAGCGCUAGCUUAAAACCCAAAGGACUUGACGGUGUCUCAGACCCACCUAGAGGAGCCUGUCCUAGAACCGAUAACCCACGUUUAACCUCACCAUUCCUUGUUCCUCCCGCCUAUAUACCGCCGUCGCAAGCUUACCCUGUGAAGGUCUAACAGUAAGCAAAAUGAGAAAACCUCAGAACGUCAGGUCGAGGUGUAGCUUACGGAGUGGAAAGAGAUGGGCUACAUUUUCUAUAUUAGAAUAUACGGAUGAUAUUAUGAAAUUAAUAUCUGAAGGUGGAUUUAGAAGUAAAAAUCAAGCAGAGAGUCAUUUUGAACUUAGGCUCUGAGACGCGUACACACCGCCC
rnacentral:rRNA from 1 species